GCUGGUAUGGCUCAAGUAGAGCAUGAGACUUAAUCUCAGGAUCGUGGGUUUGAGCCCCACAUUGGGCA